UACGGAGGGUCCAAGCGUUAUCCGGAAUCAUUGGGUUUAAAGGGUGCGUAGGCGGCCAUAUUAGUCAGAGGUGAAAAUCCUACAGCUUAACUGUAGAACUGCCUUUGAAACUGUAUGGCUAGAAUAGAGUUGAGGUUAGCGGAAUGUGACAUGUAGCGGUGAAAUGCAUAGAUAUGUCAUAGAACACCAAUUGCGAAGGCAGCUAACCGGGCUUUAGUUGACGCUGAGGCACGAAAGCGUGGGGAGCGAACGAGGAUUG
rnacentral:rRNA from 1 species